UACAGAGGUGGCAAGCGUUGUUCGGAAUUACUGGGCGUAAAGGGCGCGUAGGUGGCCUUCUUAGUCAGACGUGAAAUCCCCGGGCUUAACUCGGGAACUGCGUCUGAUACUGGAAGGCUGGAGUUCGGGAGAGGAAUGUGGAAUUCCAGGUGUAGCGGUGAAAUGCGUAGAGAUCCGGAGGAACACCGACGGCGCAGGCAGCGUCCUGGCCGCUUGCUGACACUGAGGCACGAAAGCUGGGGGAGCAAACAGGA
rnacentral:rRNA from 1 species